GAUGAACGCUGGCGGCGUGCCUAAUACAUGCAAGUCGAGCGAACGGACGAGAAGCUUGCUUUUCUGAUGUUAGCGGCGGACGGGUGAGUAACACGUGGAUAACCUACCUAUAAGACUGGGAUAACCUCGGGAAACCGGAGCUAAUACCGGAUAAUAUUUUGAACCGCAUGGUUCAAAAGUGAAAGACGGUCUUGCUGUCACUUAUAGAUGGAUCCGCGCUGCAUUAGCUAGUUGGUAAGGUAACGGCUUACCAAGGCAACGAUGCAUAGCCGACCUGAGAGGGUGAGGGGAAACACGGAAACGGAGACGGGGUCAAGACUCCGAGGGGCGGCAGAAGGAGGAAAUCUUCAGAAAUGGGCAAAAGCCGGAAGGAGCAACGCGGGGGGAGGGAGAAGGGUUUUGGAAUCGAAAAACUUGGUUAUAGGGAAAAAACAUAUGUGAAAGAACGGGGGCAAACUUGGAGGUAACAUAAGAAAAAAGCCAGGGCAAACAAGGUC
rnacentral:rRNA from 1 species